GAACCGAACCGAAUUAAGCAAAAACGACGUCGUUUUGGUUAUAAUUCUAAAACCCUAAUGGCCGCCGUAUAAAUACUCAACUCAAUCCCUCAUUCCCUCGGUCAAGUUUUCAGUCCGUCUCUCCCGAGAACUUCUCUUUAGCUCGGGUCUCUUCACUUCUUCAGCCUCUUUCUUUCUCACAUGACUCGCACACCGAUCAGAUCUCUCGCACACCGAUCAACAUCUCAUUCUUGUCGUUCUCCCUUCCAUCGUUCUCUUUACCGUUCUAAGCAGCCAUGGCCACCGCUGCGUUGCUCCGAUCUCUACGACGUCAUGACCUCGCUUCAGCCCGUCUGUUCCUACUGCUUGCCGAAGUACCGAUCUAGGAAAUGAAAUCGAUGGGUGAUGUCAUGGUAUUUGAGUUACGAAGCCUGGGACCUUGCACAAUGUUUAGUGGCUCUGCAGGUCUUGAUGCCCAGUACUCCAGUAGAAUAUAUCUACUCCAUGCAAACCAAUGAAUCUAGAUAUUGUACAUGUUUGUUUGGUUUUGAGGAGGAGGUUAAGAGUUCAUACUGCAGUGGGGUUUUUCUAAAACAAUCGAACUUCAAGAUUGAGAAUUCAUUUAUGAUGCUUUUCAGCCUGUGGAGUUCAUGUGCAAAGGGGAUCAAUUUCUGUACCCAGCAAGAGAAUGAGAUUGAUGUACCGUAUUAUCAAAACUUUUAAGGCAUUCUUCACGAGCUCUGAUCUCAUGUUGCUUGUCUUUGACCACAUAAAAACUAGUAGAGGAGCAGAGCUGCAUAGGAGUUUUGAUGCUGUGUUUGCUUUAGAGGCAACAAGAACCAAUUAUCAAAACUUUCCAGCUGUUUAGAGGAUAUAUUUCUAGAUAAUGUUUUUAGCUUUUUUUCUUUUUUCUUUCCAUAUUGAAAUGGCUCCAAUGGCCUUGAUUUGUUCCA